rnacentral:rRNA from 1 species
CCUACGGGCUGCAGCAGUGAGGAAUAUUGGUCAAUGGACGAGAGUCUGAACCAGCCAAGUAGCGUGAAGGAUGACUGCCCUAUGGGUUGUAAACUUCUUUUAUAUGGGAAUAAAACGUUCCACGUGUGGGAUUUUGUAUGUACCAUAUGCAUAAGGAUCGGCUAACUCCGUGCCAGCAGCCGCGGUAAUACGGAGGAUCCGAGCGUUAUCCGGAUUUAUUGGGUUUAAAGGGAGCGUAGGUGGAUUGUUAAGUCAGUUGUGAAAGUUUGCGGCUCAACCGUAAAAUUGCAGUUGAAACUGGCAGUCUUGAGUACAGUAGAGGUGGGCGGAAUUCGUGGUGUAGCGGUGAAAUGCUUAGAUAUCACGAAGAACUCCGAUUGCGAAGGCAGUUCACUGGACUGCAACUGACACUGAGGCUCGAAAGUGUGGGUAUCAAACAGGAUUAGAUACCCUAGUAGUC